rnacentral:rRNA from 1 species
GCUUACGGCCACACUGCCUAGUUCACGCCCGAUCUCGUUUGAUCUCGGAAGCUAAGAUAGGGUGGGCUGGUUAAUACUUGGAUGGGAGACCCCUGGGAAUACCAGGUGCUGUAAGCU